ACUGCAAAUUCCUAUCAUUUAUCCCAGUAUCUCCAAGUAUUACCCCCAUCCCAUUAUUCCUGAGUUUUUUCACUCAGCCCAUGUUCAAAGACGCUUCAGGGGAACUUUUUUACCCUGACCAUCUACUCACCAGUCGCUGAUUUUUCUCCCAAACGACUAAACGCUUCUGGCAACAAAUGGCAACAUAUCGAUCAAAGGUGAAAGUGAUGGUGAACCAAACAGAACAGUCAGUGGCUGAAAAAAGCAGGACAGCGUGGAUAUUACACACAGGGAUUGACAUCAGGAAGAUAAACUGACCGGCAAAUAAAAUUGGAAUGUGUCUCAAUAUCAAGUCGAGGAUAGCGACCAGCAGAUCCCCUGCUGCCAUGGCCACCAGCCACUCAUCUGAUGAAGCAGGGACAUGAGAAAGCUCACCCGGGGUACAAUAGUGUUUCUGGUACACACAGCACACUGACCACUGUCCUCACUUCAGGCCCACACUAACCCUACAGCUAACAACGAUGCUGUUCCUUCGCAGAGAAAUGUUCACAGUCACGGUGGGGAAUUGAUGAACCCCAUGCAGGAUGAAGAGAUUGUGUACGCAGCCAUCAAAUUCGCCAAUGUGAAUGGGAGAUGCAGCCUGAGAGUGAACAUCAAUUAAAACAGAACUGCAAAUGAGCAGGAGAUCUGCCCUCAGCUUGGAUGGUGAUGGAAGUGAGCAGACUUUAACCCAGCUGAUGUUAUGGAGUUAGACAAACAUCAUUGCUUUGCAAUAAA